AGUGAAAGCUGGCGGCGUGCUUAACACAUGCAAGUCGAACGAGAACGGGAUACAGCUUGCUAUAUUUGUCAGCUAAGUGGCGCACGGGUGAGUAAUGUAUAGGUAAUAUGCCUCUUACUACGGGAUAACAGUUGGAAACGAUUGCUAAUAUCUUAUAUGACUUUAAGACUAAAGUCUGAAUGGGAAAGAUUUAUUGGUAAGAGAUUAGCCUGUAUUGUAUCAGCUAGUUGGUGAGGUAAUGGGUCACCAAGGCUAUGACGCAUAACUGGUUUGAGAGGAUGAUCAGUCACACUGGAACUGAGACACGGUCCAGACUCCUACGGGAGGCAGCAGUGGGGAAUAUUGCACAAUGGACGAAAGUCUGAUGCAGCAACGCCGCGUGGAGGAUGACACAUUUCGGUGCGUAAACCCCUUUUAUAUAGGAAGAUAAUGACGGUACUAUAUGAAUAAGCACCGGCUAACUCCGUGCCAGCCGCCGCCGUAA
rnacentral:rRNA from 1 species